ACUCAAAGGAAUUGACGGGGGCCCGCACAAGCGGUGGAGCAUGUGGUUUAAUUCGAUGCAACGCGAAAAACCUUACCUGGGUUUGACAUCCUCGGACAGCCCUAGAGAUAGGGUCUCCCCUUCGGGGGCCGAGAGACAGGUGCUGCAUGGCUGUCGUCAGCUCGUAUCGUGAGAUGUCGGGUUAAGUCCCUUAACGAGCGCAACCCUUAUCCGUAGUUGCCAUCAUUUAGUUGGGCACUCUACGGAGACCGCCGGCGUUAAGCCGGAGGAAGGUGGGGAUGACGUCAAGUCCUCAUGGCCCUUAUAUCCAGGGCUACACACGUGCUACAAUGGCCGGUACAGAGGGUCGCCAACCCGCAAGGGGGAGCUAAUCUCAGAAAGCCGGUCUCAGUUCGGAUUGAAGUCUGCAAUUCGACUUCAUGAAGCUGGAAUCGCUAGUAAUCGCGGAUCAGAACGCCGCGGUGAAUACGUUCCCGGGCCUUGUACACACCGCCCGU
rnacentral:rRNA from 1 species